GAUGAACGCUGGCGGCGUGCCUAAUACAUGCAAGUCGAGCGAACAGAUGAGGAGCUUGCUCCUCUGACGUUAGCGGCGGACGGGUGAGUAACACGUGGAUAACCUACCUAUAAGACUGGGAUAACUUCGGGAAACCGGAGCUAAUACCGGAUAAUAUAUUGAACCGCAUGGUUCAAUAGUGAAAGACGGUUUUGCUGUCACUUAUAGAUGGAUCCGCGCCGCAUUAGCUAGUUGGUAAGGUAACGGCUUACCAAGGCGACGAUGCGUAGCCGACCUGAGAGGGUGAUCGGCCACACUGGAACUGAGACACGGUCCAGACUCCUACGGGAGGCAGCAGUAGGGAAUCUUCCGCAAUGGACGAAAGCCUGACGGAGCAACGCCGCGUGAGUGAUGAAGGUCUUCGGAUCGUAAAACUCUGUUAUUAGGGAAGAACAAAUGUGUAAGUAACUAUGCACGUCUUGACGGUACCUAAUCAGAAAGCCACGGCUAACUACGUG
rnacentral:rRNA from 1 species